rnacentral:rRNA from 2 species
UACGGAGGAUCCAAGCGUUAUCCGGAUUCAUUGGGUUUAAAGGGUGCGUAGGCGGAAGGGUAAGUCAGUGGUGAAAGCCUGCAGCUUAACUGCAGAACUGCCAUUGAUACUGCUCAUCUUGAGUACAUUUGAUGUGGGCGGAAUGUGUCAUGUAGCGGUGAAAUGCUUAGAUAUGACACAGAACACCGAUUGCGAAGGCAGCUCACAAAACUGUAACUGACGCUGAGGCACGAAAGCGUGGGGAUCGAACAGG